rnacentral:rRNA from 1 species
UACAGAGGGUGCAAGCGUUGUUCGGAAUUACUGGGCGUAAAGCGCGUGUAGGCGGCUUAUUAAGUCAGAUGUGAAAUCCCUCGGCUCAACUGAGGAACUGCAUCUGAUACUGGUAAGCUUGAGUGUCGGAGGGGAUGGUAGAAUUCCUGGUGUAGAGGUGAAAUUCGUAGAUAUCAGGAGGAAUACCUGUGGCGAAGGCGACCAUCUGGAAGACAACUGACGCUGAGACGCGAAAGCGUGGGUAGCAAACAGG